rnacentral:rRNA from 1 species
GACGAACGCUGGCGGCGUGCUUAACACAUGCAAGUCGAACGGAAAGGCCCUGCUUUUGUGGGGUGCUCGAGUGGCGAACGGGUGAGUAACACGUGAGUAACCUGCCCUUGACUUUGGGAUAACUUCAGGAAACUGGGGCUAAUACCGGAUAGGAGCUCCUGCUGCAUGGUGGGGGUUGGAAAGUUUCGGCGGUUGGGGAUGGACUCGCGGCUUACCAGCUUGUUGGUGGGGUAGUGGCUUACCAAGGCUUUGACGGGUAGCCGGCCUGAGAGGGUGACCGGCCACAUGGGGACUGAGAGACGGACCAGACUCCUACGGGAGGCAACAGUCGGGAAUAUUGCACAAUGGGCGGAAGCCUGAUGCAGCAACGCCGCGUUCGUGAUGACGGCCUUCUGGUUGUAAACCGCUUUCGCCUGUGACGAAGCGUGAGUGACGGUAAUGGGUAAAGAAGCACCGGCUAACUACGUG